GAUGAACGCUGGCGGCGUGCUUAACACAUGCAAGUCGAACGGAAAGGCCCAAGCUUGCUUUGGUACUCGAGUGGCGAACGGGUGAGUAACACGUGGGUGAUCUGCCCUGCACUUCGGGAUAAGCCUGGGAAACUGGGUCUAAUACCGGAUAGGACGAUGGUUUGGAUGCCAUUGUGGAAAGUUUUUUCGGUGUGGGAUGAGCUCGCGGCCUAUCAGCUUGUUGGUGGGGUAAUGGCCUACCAAGGCGUCGACGGGUAGCCGGCCUGAGAGGGUGUACGGCCACAUUGGGACUGAGAUACGGCCCAGACUCCUACGGGAGGCAGCAGUGGGGAAUAUUGCACAAUGGGCGCAAGCCUGAUGCAGCGACGCCGCGUGGGGGAUGACGGCCUUCGGGUUGUAAACUCCUUUCGCUAGGGACGAAGCGUUUUUGUGACGGUACCUGGAGAAGAAGCACCGGCUAACUACGUG
rnacentral:rRNA from 1 species